CGCAGGGGCCAGUGCUCUGAGCCGGAGGUGCGGCGUGGCCCGGCCCCCGUGCUGCCGGCUUCCCCGCGCCCCCGGGCCGGCCCGCACCUCGCCUGAUGGCCGCUCACCCUGUGUUCGCAGCAAAUGGAGCUGCUCCUGGUGAACAAGCUCAAGUGGAACCUGGCCGCCUUGACCCCGCACGAUUUCAUUGAACACUUCCUCUCCAAAAUGCCAGAGGCGGAGGAGAACAAACAGAUCAUCCGCAAACACGCGCAGACCUUCGUUGCCCUCUGUGCCACAGAUGUGAAGUUCAUUUCCAAUCCACCCUCCAUGGUAGCAGCGGGGAGCGUGGUGGCCGCAGUGCAAGGCCUGAACCUGAGGAGCCCCAACAGCUUCCUGUCCUACUACCGCCUCACACGCUUCCUCUCCAGAGUGAUCAAGUGUGACCCGG
rnacentral:sRNA from 1 species